ACUCAAAUGAAUUGACGGGGACCCGCACAAGCGGUGGAGCGUGUUGUUUAAUUCGAUGGUAAGCGAAGAACCUUACCCAGGCUUGACAUCCUGCCAAAUUUGCCGAAAGGCGAAUGUGCCUUCGGGCCGCAGUGACAGGUGAUGCAUGGCCGUCGUCAGCUCGUGUCGUGAGAUGUUUGGUUAAGUCCAUCAACGAGCGCAACCCUUAUAGUUAGUUGUAUUUCUCUAGCUAGACUGCCCUGGUAACAGGGAGGAAGGAGGGGAUGAUGUCAGGUCAGUAUUUCCCUUACGUCUGGGGCUACAAACACGCUACAAUGGCCGGUACAAAGGGCAGCCAAAGCGCAAGCUGGAGCAAAUCCCAUCAAAGCCGGUCCCAGUUCGGAUUGGAGGCUGAAACUCGCCUCCAUGAAGUCGGAAUCGCUAGUAACGGUAGGUCAGCACACUACCGUGAAUACGUUCCCGGGUCUUGUACACACCGCCCGU
rnacentral:rRNA from 1 species